rnacentral:tRNA from 1 species
UAUAUUUUAGUGUAAGAGGCACAUUAAUUUUUGAUAUUAAUAGGUAUAGUUUAAUUCUAUAAAAUAUAA